rnacentral:rRNA from 1 species
AUUGAACACUGGCGGCAUGCCUUACACAUGCAAGUCGAACGUGAAAGCGGGGCAACCCGCAAGUAGAGUGGCGGACGGGUGAGUAAUACAUCGGAACGUGUCCAGUAAUGGGGGAUAACCUAGCGAAAGUUAGGCUAAUACCGCAUACGAUCUGCGGAUGAAAGCGGGGGAUGCGGCACUAAAAGCUUUUGGUGAAGGUCGCCAAAGGCAGGCCAAGAGCUUUUAGUGCUGCACCUCGCGUUAUUGGAGCGGCUGAUGUCUGAUUAGCUAGUUGGUGAGGUAAAGGCUUACCAAGGCGACGAUCAGUAGCUGGUCUGAGAGGACGGCCAGCCACACUGGGACUGAGACACGGCCCAGACUCCUACGGGAGGCAGCAGUGGGGAAUUUUGGACAAUGGGGGCAACCCUGAUCCAGCCAUGUCGCGUGAGUGAAG